rnacentral:rRNA from 1 species
UACAGAGGGCGCGAGCGUUGUUCGGAAUUACUGGGCGUAAAGCGCGCGCAGGCGGCUCUUUAAGUCCGCUGUGCAAAUGCCGGGGCUCAACCCCGUGCCCGCCAGGGAUACUGGAGAGCUGGAGACACGUAGAGGCAAGCGGAAUCCCGGGUGUAGCGGUGGAAUGCGUAGAGAUCCGGAAGAACACCGGAGGCGAAGGCGGCUUGCUGGGCGUAGUCUGACGCUGAGGCGCGAAAGCGUGGGGAGCGAACAGG